UAAUACGAAGGUGGCAAGCGUUGUUCGGAAUAACUGGGCUUAAAGAGCACGUAGGCGGCUGAUCAAGCAUCUUGUGAAAUCCCUCGGCUUAACCGAGGAAUUGCGAGGUGAACUGGUCAGCUUGAGCUGCAGAUGGGUGACUGGAACUCUAGGUGGAGUGGUGAAAUGCGUAGAUAUCUAGAGGAACGCCAGUGGUGAAAACGGGUCACUGGCUGCAUGCUGACGCUGAGGUGCGAAAGCGUGGGUAGCGAACGGGAUUAGAUACCCCGGUAGUCCACGCCGUAAACGAUGGGUACUAGGUUCGGGGAAGUUUGACCUUUUCCGGGCCGAAGCAAAAGUAAUAAGUACCCCGCCUGGGGAGUACGGUCGCAAGGCUA
rnacentral:rRNA from 1 species